rnacentral:rRNA from 1 species
CAGUAGCCGCGGGAAUACGUAGGGUGCGAGCGUUAAUCGGAAUUACUGGGCGUAAAGCGUGCGCAGGCGGUUAUAUAAGACAGAUGUGAAAUCCCCGGGCUCAACCUGGGACCUGCAUCUGUGACUGUAUAGCUAGAGUACGGUAGAGGGGGAUGGAAUUCCGCGUGUAGCAGUGAAAUGCGUAGAUAUUCGGAAGAACACCAGUGGCGAAGGCGGCCCACUGGCUCAUACUGGACGCUGAGGUGCGAACGCGUGGGGAGCAAACAGGAUUAGAUACCCGAGUAGUCCCUGUCUCUUAUAC